AGUUAAAUAUGGAGGAUGAGGGGAAGAUAUCAAGAAUAACGGCUAGGUUUUUAGAACAGGUUUUGUAGCUUGGGGGAGAAGAAACAAAUUGUACAUAUUGUGUCUGAGGAACCUGUGGAAGAUUCAGGUUAUGUCUAGUGGGUAGUUAGAUACAGCAGAGAAAUAGGAGCCAUCUGGCCCCAACAGUAGAUUUGUGAACCACCAGGGUAUAAGCAGUAACUGAGGCCAAUAGAGUCCUUUAUAGCUAUGACAUUUAAAAUUAUUUCCUCAUAGCUCAUUUUGUUCACAAUUUGUGAGAUUUUUAGGAAGAGGACUAUUAAGAGCCACCUCGUACAUCUCAUCCUGUAGUGAAGUUUUCCUGUACAGACUGUGAACCAAUGGUUAUUGAUAAACUUCCUUUUGACAAAUAUGAGUUGGAACCUUCACCACUGACUCAAUUUAUCCUGGAAAGGAAAUCUCCUCAAACAUGUUGGCAGGUGUACGUGAGCAAUAGUGCAAAAUACAGUGAACUUGGUCAUCCUUUUGGUUACUUGAAAGCCAGUACAGCACUGAACUGUGUCAACUUAUUUGUGAUGCCUUACAAUUAUCCAGUCCUUCUUCCCCUCUUAGAUGACUUGUUUAAAGUGCAUAAAGCAAAACCAACAUUGAAGUGGAGACAGUCAUUUGAAAGUUAUUUGAAGACAAUGCCUCCCUACUAUCUUGGG
rnacentral:sRNA from 1 species